AAUUCAUGCUCCCUAGACCUUGAACUGAAACUUUAGUGUAACUAUCUCCCCAAUAAUGCAGAAAGCCACUAUCCAACAAAGCUAUUCCAAGAUUACCCUUCCCAUUUAAAAUUAAAAAAAACCACAUCCUCUGCAACUACUUUUUCCUAUCACCCUCUUCUUCUCAAGAUCCCUCUUCUUCUCAAGAUCCCACUCCUCCGCUGCCACCAACGAGGAUCCCGACCGCCGACACCGCAAGUUGGCCGUUGUCGACCCCUACAAGUUUGAUUCAUCUUCGUCGACGCUCCUUGAUUGUCUUCGCUCCGUUGUCACCCCCUACGGCCAGAAUAAGGAAGCUUGUCAUCGUCUUCACUCCGACAAGGACCCCCACUGACUACUACGCAAAAUCAUCCUCAAGGCCCGUUCUUUUUCCUACAAAUGAGUGUCUUUCAAUUCUUCAAACUACAUCAGAUUCGUUAUGCUUAUUACUUUCACUUGUGUGUUUUGUAUGCCCACCAAGUGUUUGUUGAUAUGCCCAGCUCUCAAUUACCCAAUUCCUGUGAAAUUGAGGGUUUUCAUAGGAGUUGAUGCGUGCUUGGAACUUAACAUGCCGAAUUUUUUGACCAACUCUCUCGCGUAUUUGUUUUGUGACACAAAAAUACCAUCAUUGGUUUAUUUGACUUAGAGACCGAGAAAGAAUGUACGAUUAUGGCAUACAUGCAUAUUUAUACAUCAAAGCGAUUCUAGAAGGAAAUGAGGCGAUGAAUAUUGAAGCUUUACAAAGGGAGUCUGAAAUGUUAAGAGCAGGACUUGCUGCUCAAAUUAUAUGUGAAGGUUGAGAAUUAAGAAGCUGGGAUUGAAGUUAGAUGUAGAUAAUCCUGAAUAUUUUUUAUAUUUUGGGGAUAAUGAUGUCCCAUUGAUUGUGUAGAAGCAUUAGACAAACACGUACAACAUAAUUCUAUGUUGGAUAUGACUAAUUUCUUUAUAAA